rnacentral:rRNA from 1 species
CGUGUAGGCGGCCAAACAGGUCCGUUGUGAAAACUGGAGGCUUAACUUCCAGACGUCGACGGAAACCGUAUGGCUAGAGUCCGGAAGAGGAGAGUGGAAUUCCUGGUGUAGCGGUGAAAUGCGCAGAUAUCAGGAAGAACACCAAUGGCGAAGGCAGCUCUCUGGGACGGUACUGACGCUGAGACGCGAAAGCGUGGGGAGCGAACA